rnacentral:snoRNA from 1 species
UCAAAAAAAAAAAAUUGUCAUACUUGGCCCCAAACCAUUACCUGGGCUCUACCCAUAGUACUCAUAGGCUGUUGGCACUGCAGUGGGUCAUACAGGG